rnacentral:lncRNA from 1 species
UCAGAUCCUCAUGCCACAGGGCUCUGUAGCCACCAAACUGAUUACCUACUGGGAAAAGAAAAGCCCACUGACGUAUAAUGAUAAUCCUGCAACAGACGAAAGAAACUUUAGGGUCAUCUUUCUGAGAUCGUUGCUCAGGGGUCAGGCCCCAGGUGUUAAGAAGAGCAGGCAUUACAAGGUUUAUUGAGAAGAAUAUGACAGGGAUGCAUUACCAGGUGCAGCAUGAUGAGAUGGAAGACAGGACUGCACCUGGCUCUGAGGUCAGCCUCAGCGUGAAGGAGGCAAUAUGUUUGACUCUGUGGUUGGGGUGGAGAACUUUGGGUCACUUCUCUCUGGAGUGAAGAGACGACAGCUAAUCAGCUUCCAGUCUAAGGCAGCAGCCUUCCUUUCCCAGGUCUGAAGUGAGAUCCAGGACUACACAUUUUCAGCGAACUCCCUGUGUGAUACUAUGGUG